rnacentral:rRNA from 1 species
GGCGAACGGGUGAGUAACACGUGGGCAAUCUGCCCUGCACUCUGGGACAAGCCCUGGAAACGGGGUCUAAUACCGGAUACUGAGCNACUUGGGCAUCCAAGUGGUUCGAAAGCUCCGGCGGUGCAGGAUGAGCCCGCGGCCUAUCAGCUUGUUGGUGAGGUAAUGGCUCACCAAGGCGACGACGGGUAGCCGGCCUGAGAGGGCGACCGGCCACACUGGGACUGAGACACGGCCCAGACUCCUACGGGAGGCAGCAGUGGGGAAUAUUGCACAAUGGGCGAAAGCCUGAUGCAGCGACGCCGCGUGAGGGAUGACGGCCUUCGGGUUGUAAACCUCUUUCAGCAGGGAAGAAGCGAAAGUGACGGUACCUGCAGAAGAAGCGCCGGCUAACUACGUGCCAGCAGCCGCGGUAAUACGUAGGGCGCAAGCGUUGUCCGGAAUUAUUGGGCGUAAAGAGCUCGUAGGCGGCUUGUCACGUCGGUUGUGAAAGCCCGGGGCUUAACCCCGGGUCUGCAGUCGAUACGGGCAGGCUAGAGUUCGGUA